GAAAACAGUGGUGAGAUCAUCAGGUCCCACUAGAAGGAAGCUCUCUAUUUAUAUUGUCCUCCUUGGCCACUGUGGGCAAACUGCAACAAGCCAUACAGGAAGACUUCAGAAUUCAAGAAAACUUACGCAAUUCCAAAGCAUUCAAAUGAUAUCUCACUAAGGAAUAAAUGAAAAAGUCAUUUGUUCAACCACCUUCUGUACUUCUACAACCUCCCCCCACCUUCUGCAAUGUAUGAAACAGCAGUUUCAAAGAAGAAGCAUAAAAAACAAAGAAAAAAAUAGCUUCCAUCACCGAGGGAAAGAACUCUGAGCUGGUUUUACAACAGCAGAACAUUGUCUGGCUGAAGCAUUAUGACAGAAAGGUUUGUUGCAAGCUGCCAAAUUAGGGACCACAAUAAUUACCUGUACCAAAGACUCUGAAGAAUAGCUUCUGGGUAAUGGAAUUUGAUAAUACAUGCUGUUCCUUUCAUGCUGUGUGAUACGGUAUUGUCCUAGAACUGCUGGAACAAUGGGAACAACUCCAUGAAGCUUUCCUUCCAUGUGCAGAUCAGCCAUGCCAGCAUGCAGAGCAGUGCUCAUUCAGUGCAUGCUUUCCUUUCCUUUUCUCUUAUAGAAUUUCUUACUUCAAAUUGCCUGCAGUAAAGCUUGGUUUUAUCCAUCUUUCUCAAUAAUCAUAGACCACUGCAUGUAAUAAUCCUUUUAUAUUUUCUUUAAUUAGGUUGUAAAAUGUGACCAGUUCCUUUCUGAAAUGUAUAUUUAUCCAAUUAAGAAAUAUAUAACUACUAGCAUUUAUCAUUAAUUAUUUCAUAGAUACAAGGUAGGCAUUUGCAUUUUAUUACUUGCCAUCAGUAAGUUGAGAAAACAUAGAGUCAAGUUCAGAGUUCAGCUCUCUGCAAUUACUGAAGUUUCACCUAGCCUAAAAUUUGGCUUGCUCAUGCUAGGCACCCACAAUUAAAUAAAUGUAUUCUGGCCAUGUUAAAUAGUACUAGGUGAGGAUGUGACAAAUUCUUCAGUACAUCUUUACACUGCCACAUUGUUACAGAAAAAUUCCCAAAUGCAUUAUUCGUUAUGCCACUGUGACACUGAUGAUCACAUACAAUAAUGGUCAUUUCCCAUUUCAACCUGAAGUGUGAUCUCUCACUUCUGGGAUCACAGUUAGAACAAAGCUAUCCAUUUGCUUUUUCCAUUCACAGUAUCAACAAGGGGUAUUUUUACAGUAGCAAGUGCCCUGGGGUAAACAUGGUUACACUGAGGAAGAACACAGCUUCUUUCCCUAAGGAAAGUAGCACCAGCAAUUCUGACAAAAGCACUCAUUUACUUUAUAAGUUGCACUCAUACCAGGAGGAUUUUCAAAUAGAGUAGCCUUCCUCCUUGGUUAAUGUCUGAGUGACUGGGACUCAGUGAAUUCACUCUUCUGGUGUAAUGUGGGGAAAAAAAAUGUUUUUGCCUAACAACAAGAUGUUAUGACUCCAAAGAGGUCAAAAGAGGUGCCAUGGAACUCUGAUACAAGAUAAAUUCCUGCUUGCAGAAUAGAAGACCUGCAUUUUCAGAUAACAUCAGGAGAUGUACUGGUAACAAACCAGUCCUGAGGUAUGAAUGAUAGCCAGAGGGGAAGGUUAACUACGAGGUUAUGCCAGCGUACCAUAAUAAGUAAAAACUAAGCAGGUAUAGGAGGAGAACAAAGAGGGGCUAACCAAGCAGUGAACAGAGGUGGAACAACAGCUAAGGGAAUUAGAAGAGUUGGAUAGGCUGUAAACCCCGGAAUAUUCAACUAGUGAGAUAACAGGGGAGGGAACUGGUGCUGGAAGUAGGAAAUAUGAGCUGUUGCAUCUCUCCGAACCUGUGCACCUGGUUCUUAAGGUAGCCCACUCCUGCAAAAGUGUGAAAUUAAUUGCAAUUCAUAGAGAAUUCUGCCUGAGCCUGGACUACUGAACAUGAGCAUUUCGCACAUUUAGUCAUCACAAAUCACAGGGAACAUGAUAAAACUGCUCUAUUGCUUCCCUCCUCCCAAGAGGGGGAGUGCCCUGCCACUAGAACAGCAAACCUUUGCUACAAGGCCUGGGUAAAAGGACUCAGUAGACCCAAAGCAAGACCUUUCCUAGACACAACAGUUCAAUUUAUUUAAUUACAUCAUAAGAAUUAUCAAUAAAAGCUUUUAUGCUAUGGUAUACUCUGAUAAGUAACAUGCUCAGCCUACUGGUCUAAGGCACCUUCACAGUGGUAUAACUGAAAAUAUACUAAAUAGAAAUUUAUGCAAUUACUUUGUGUAAGUAGAUCACCAACUUAAGUUCUUAAGGCAGAAGUUUACCAGCUAAAUAAAAUAAAUUAAAAUAAAAUAAAAAAUAAAUCAUCUCCUGUAGGGGACUGUGCAGAUAGACAAAAAAUAGUUUUUGAUUUCUUGGAGUGAGAGGCCAGUAGACCAGUUACCCCAGCACAUGGAAGCUAACCUUGUUUUUACUUCCUGAACAACAGAGUACCACUGGCAGUGCACUCUCUUGCUUGGAAAACAGACACAUUCCAAAAAAAGCACAAGAAUAUUCACAUCUUGGUCCUUGGAAAGUAGCAAAACAAUUCAGCAGCACACUGCUUAGGCUCUAAUACUAAGCAGUGUCAGUCAGGGCUGUCUUAAACUCAGCUUCUUAAUAAAUAUAGACAAGGAGAGAAAAAGAGGUUUGGCAAGGUAAACUAAAUCUGCUGUAGCUUGCAAGAUAACUUAAUAGAAGACAGAAUAUGUAAUGUUGUCUUACUGUAAUUUAGUGAAACAGGCUGUGCAGCUUGCCGAGGAGCUCAGUCAAGAGCCAGAGACGAUAAUAAAACUGUAACACAGUCAGUAGAAAUCUUUUGUCUCUUUUCAAAUUGCUCAUUAAAAAUACUUCACUUUAAGAACAUGGUUAAUCAAUCUCUCUCAGAAAAAAAACCACAGCCAAAUCCACAGGGCAAGCAGACUGUCACCAAACAUGAAGUUGUAUAUGCAGGUCUGAACCCAGUCAUCCUGCUGAGGCACAAAAUCAUGAGACUUCGUGCUUAGAUUCAGGGAAAUCAGAAGUGGGACCCAAUACUACCCCUUUCUCUCUAACUAUGACAUUUACUGUAUCAUAAAACAGGACGAAAAUUAAUAGAAACAGUGUUUGAUAUUAUGUCUGUUUACCACCAACAUUAAUCACAGACAACAGCCUGAAGACAAGACACUUAGUUGAUGUAAGCAUACUCAUUUAUGCUGGAUAAGAAUGUACUUGUCAGAUAUUUGCUCUUUCUGUGAUAUUAACAGUGCUCUUGUAAGACUGUAUUUGACAACAUGUUCCUAGAGUCCAUAGCAUGAUAAAAUUCUUGGAUAACUCCUCAACUGGUAGAACCACCUUCAGUCUUGCCAUUUUACACCAAUUGAGGAACAAAUUUUUACCCUAGGCAAUGAAAAGUGUGUUCUGCAUUGUGUCAUCUACACUUCAGAUGCAAACAGGGAUCUAUAGUCAUUAAUGAUUAGCAGUUAAUCCUUCCUGUACACACCAGUAGAAAUGAUGGCGGGUAAACUAAAGAAUGAAGCUCUACACCAUCACCUGGACAACUGUGGUGGGAUCUCACAUUAUCAGACAGUUUCAGUAAACUUCUGACUUUAGUGGGUACUUAGGAAUGCUCAAAUUAGUAACAAUUCCUUGAAUCACCAUAGGAUCCCACUGCACUAGUAAACAAUAUUCAUGGACUAUUCAGCAUCAUGAUGCUUUCAAUAAAUUAUUGGACACUUUGUUUUUAUUAAUUGCAUCACUGCAAUUUGGCAUCAGAUGUAAUGUUUAACAACAUGGAUUCAAUUAAAAAAAAAAAAAAAAGUAUCCAAUCUGGAUACCAAAUGAACAAAUUAGAAUAAUGCAGUGCUAAGAAAAUGCGUCACAAUGACAAUGCAGGAAACAUACAGAAAUGCUUUGAGGAGGGAAAUGAAUCCUAAAAUGCUACUAAACUAGUUAUAGAGAAUGAAGAAUUUGGUUAGAGAUGAGAAAAAAACAAAUGAAUAAAAAAACCCAUGAAAAAAUAUCCCAAAUAAGAAAAUACAAAUAGUCUCCUAAGACUUUGGAAAAUGUGGUUUCAGCAAUUAACGAUGAUAAAUGCUGAAUGGAAGGGUAAAAGGCAGGCACUUACUGUGCUGCCUUAUGACAACAUCACUACUUGUAAUUUACUUUUGAAAGGAAACUACAUCAAUAUUUUCCAGCCACUUUCUACAUAGGCUCCCAUUUCUUGCUUGCAACUUAGAUUAAGUUUUAGUCUCUUUGCAAAACUUGUAAUUCACAAUUCUGGGUUCAUUUCUUACUGAAAGAAACAAAAAAACACACACCUCCUUCUGAGGGCAUAUCUGGGGAAAAGAAAUACUGCCAUGACUGUACUUCCAUAUACCUUUGCCUUUACAAUGAAUCUUCAAAACAAAAUACAUGUCUCAGGAGAACAAAGAGGCUUGAUUUCUUCUCCCUGAACAGUAAGGAAGUUACUGUCUUCUGAGAGCCAGUGUCAGCUUUAGGUGCUGUGUUUGAUGUGUAGAUUUCUACUUUGACUCCUACAAUGUGAAAUAAGAAGAUGUAAACUAAAAAACAAAACAAAACAAAAUUAAAAAAAAAAAAAAAGCAGGAAUAGCAACAGCCACCUACAUCUGAAAGAUAUCUAAAAUACAGAAGAUAGCCUUCUGGCCUUCUUGAUGGUGCAUAAUGUUCCAAUAUGGGAGAGUGUCUUAUAGCCUUAGCAAUUUUGUGAAUUAGACAUUAAUUUCUGCGUGUGUAUUUGGAAACUCCAAUUAAUUAAGCAUAACAUAUGCACACUUAGCAUGCUGUGCUUCCUGAAGAUGGAAGCCACGAAGCAGCCAGAACACAAAAACACUCAUAAAAACAUUACUAUGCUGUUCAUUGGCCAAGGUAUUGGAAAGCAUUGGUAUUCUUUUAUCUAUUUUAGUAAAUCCAAAUACUCCAUAUUACUGACUAGCUUAAUAUCCUUUGAUUUCCUGGCUGCAUUGUGUUCCAAGUUCAAAAGCACUAUUUUAGACUCUGGUAGUUAGCAUUUCGUAGGUAUGUUACUUUAUCACUCUCUUCUCUCCACAUCUCCCUAACUCAACCAUUUACCAAUGUUCUUAAAUGCAUAACUGAGUCUCAGGACCUGCAGCUCAGAGGUAGAUGUUCAAGGACUGAGAGCAAGGGUUAGACAGAGUGCACAAGGGAAGCACCUCCAAUGUGCAGCAUGCCUGAAAUGCAUUCCUAGCCACCAACCCUUUUUCUCCUGAUACAGAAUUCAAUCGCCUGAAUUUUUCUAUGAAUUGUAGUCCUAAUUUGUACAUGAUAUGGCCCAUGCAUCACAGUGAAGUUUCCCAUUUUAGUCAGAUCACACCUAAAGCUCAGGCUUUAAGGUGCACAGGCUGCGGGUGCUCAUCUUUCACCAAACUCACACUACCUUCAGGUGGCUUAGGUUGAUAGUGUUCACAACACCAAUAAAAUCAAAAGUAGGGAUGAUAAAGGCCUCAAUAGAUUUGGAACUUGGACUAGUCAGCACUGAAUGGAGCCUUUCAAAACUCAGUAAUUAUCAUAUUUUGAUUCUACACAGCUACCUCAACAGCUAUCAGAGAUGGGUUAAAAAAAAAGAAAGAGAAAGAUUUUAAGUUGCUUUUGUACAUCUGAAAGCAUAAUUUAAGCAUAUAUAAUCAGUGGAUACAUUUAUUUUCUUAUUUUUUACUAUUUUAGGGAUAGUAAUACAGCUGUUAAAAGUUUGCUCUCUUCUGUACUCAAGGUAAGAAAUUACGAGUGACUUUCUACCUUUCAUUAACUUUACACCAUUAUUUUUAACUAUUGUAUCUGUAUUGAGUGACUACAUUUCCAUGAAUAAAUGAUGGGGCAGACAGAGAUGCUGGCACAUCCCCGAUGAGAGCAGUGAUGCCAAACUUACUCUAUAAGCAAAAUACUUGCAGGGCGUUCUAUUCUUAAGUUUAUCCAACAAUCACUGCUGUGCAUUUCACCACUCACACUGAAUUUAACUCUAUUCCACUUUGAAAUAAACUUUUAAUUUUUAAUGCCCUGUGUGUACUAUUAAUCAAGAAGAGUGGGCAUAACAAUAAGAAUUACACAGAGGAAAGUUUGCUAAAAUAUGUCAAGAGUAUUCCUGCAUACAGUCAUCCAAGAAUUGAGGACCAUGAUACCACUUGUCAAAGGAGCAACAGCUUAGGUCUAUUUAUACUGAGAGAGAAAUCUCUGCUACCUAUGAUAACGAAGUCUGAGGUUCUGAAAAGGAUAGUGGUGCCAGUACAGUAAAUGGUGAUCUUCCUUUACAGUCUUAUCUAUAUCAGUGUUAGAAGGGUUUUAACAUCGGAAGCAAAGUACUUUAGUGGAGAUCUCUUGGCUGACAGCCAAAAACUUGUGAGUGCUAUUCUUAGAAGUGCAUUAUAUCAAUGUGUGCUUUUAGGCAAAUCACUAACCCUAACCACAUUACUUUCCUUAUUUGCAAAACUGGGAAAUAAUAGCACUUUUGUAUUUUUGCAGACUUCACUGAAAUCCAUGCCUCAAAAAGUGCUUGAGAGCGUUUGAUAUUAUUACUACCGUUACUUACAUUGCAGUAAAACUGAGAGUAGUCACUAGUUAAUAUUAAAACGAUAGUAUAAAUUGUGUUUGUCUUCAAGAUAAGAAUUAAAGGUGUCUUUGAUCUCCUCUUGUCACUUGUUAAGGAGAAUAUUACAAAUAAAAUACAAAAGAUUGUACUUGUGUCCUGGACAUUUGCCAAUAGAAACACUGACAUUUUGUUUACUUAAAUUUCAUUAGAUGCUGCAUAUUACUGUGCAAUGUUACUAAAAAAUGCCUACAAUUGUAACCUCUAUUAUUACUUGGUAUUAUUUCAUAGUAGCGUAUGGUCAAAUUUUAAUUUUUGUGCCCAUGCACAUCCAGGAAUAUCAGUGGAGUUUCCUGGUUAUAAUCAAAGUCACAGUUUGUUAAAUUGAAAGUGAACUUGGUGAUCUUCCCAGAAGGAAAAAGGAUACACAGGAAGAGGGAACACCAUCUUGAAGCAUGACCAUGGAAGGCUUACCCUGAGGCCUCUUUGACGUGCCCCUUGCAAAACACUACAUAACUGAAACUCUUUGAAAACUUCAGCUGGGCCUUCAUCAAAAGCUGAUAUUGGUCUCAAAUACAAACAGACAUUGCUUAGAGCAGAAAUUUGCGAAGCAACCAUACAGCGGCCUUAGCUUUAUGACAACUUCCUGUGAGUUGACCUCACAAGUGAUGGGUGCCAGUCAUGGAGCAGAUACAGUUUUUGUUCUGGCUUGUCAUGACUAGCUUACAGACAUGUAGUUAUGUACUGGACCAGCCUUAAUAAAUUAGCAUGCAAUCUGCUGACAAGUGAGCUUAUGUAGGUAGGGACAACAAACACUACUUGGGUAGAUAUUACUGUAUCAUGACUCUUCUUUUUUUUAAAAAAAAAAAAAAAAGAAAGAAAUAUCGUCUCACCAUCUUUGAAAACUAUGACUUUAGUAAUAACAUCAUAUACUACCUUUAAAGGGAACGUUCCGGAGAUAAGCAGAGUUUAUUGACUUAUUCUGCCCUUGCUGUGUAGAGAAUGCAAUGGAAGCAAUAUAAGGUGCAGAGUGAUGUGUUUUAUCACACAGGAAUCCAUCAAAGAACUCUUCUAGAAGAAGAGCCCAUAUGCGGAGUAAGACAGCAUGAUGUAUGAAUCCCAUCGCUGAAAUCAACUCUUGGAUUCAACAGUGCCAUUUGAACGGACAAAACCAUUAUUUUCUUUAGCCAUUCAAGCAAGGGAAACAUACUAACUCAAUUGCCAGCAUAGCUACCAGAAGGAAAUUGUGUAUGCUUUUUAGUAUUCAAGACCUUGCUCUAUUGCCUUACUCAUAUGAAAUUCAGCAUCUCUUUUGAAAACAGCAAAACAAUGACUUUGUCUCCAUUUUAAUUUGGAAGGAGUCCAAAUUAAGCUAUUAUGAGAGAUAAAUGAUAUAAUGAGAGUUGCAUGCAAUUUACUGAAAAAAAAAAUGAACAAGCAAAAUGACCUCUCAAAUGUUUGCAUUUUUCUUUUUUGAACUUACUGAAAUUUUUAUGUUCUAGGUAGUGAAGUCAAGUUUCAUAUUCAGCUUUCCUGUUAAUGUUAACAUGUACAUGACAGGUUCCAACUAAGCAGAAAAAUAGGACAUUAGGAUGCCAACCUAGCGUUCCGUUAUUAUCAAGAAUAAAUGAACUCAACUUAAACAGAGUUUCUAUAUUAACUAUUUCCAGAAUACACUCCUAUGCAGAACACUGUCUCGUAGGAAUUUGACUGGCAAAUAUCAGAUAUUCUGGCACUGAAAAGAAAAUCUGAGAACCUUUGUUACUGAAGCUGUAGUGGUGAACAAAAAUAGACUGCAAGCACUGGUGGAAACAUGGGCUACAGGGCCCUGUGAUCACAAACCUUCUGAGCAGGAAAGUCUGCCCGCUUAUAGAAAAGGUCAUCUUCAGUUUUGCAGCUCCAGGCUUUUAAUCUUAAGUAAGCCAAUCAGAUCUGAAUUAAGUGAUGAACGUAUUAUGUUAAUGAGCAUAAUUAUGCUAAUGAACAUUCCUUCAAGGAAUCUUCAUUCUUGAUUCAUUAGUUAGAUGUUACCAUCUGAAACCAAUGGAAAAUGUUUUGAAAAACUCAAUUAACCCCUCUGGGGUAAUCUUAAGACCUUAACAGACUGUCUUCCAGUGCUACCUCUGUUAUUUAUUCCCAGAUUUGUCUGUAGUCAUCAUUUCACUCAGAGUCCUCUGCCUUUUUAAACUUAUUUUUCUUCUGACAGUUACUUCAACCCUGCCGGAAAAACAAAACAAAACAAAAAUCUAUAAUCAUGUUUUAUUACUGCACUGCAGGCUCUGCAAUCCAGAUCCCAACAGUAUCACCUUCUGAACAAGCAUGGGAAAAUGCUAAAACAGCAGAAAAGUUGUCAGAGCCUGCCUGCACUAUUGACUAACCAGAGACUAGCUUGGGACAGGCACUAUCCAGCCAGCAAAUAGGCAGCUUUCUGCAGUACACUGUGUACUUCUUAGGGAUGGCACUUACUGUUUGGUGCCAGUGUGCUCCCGUGUUACAUUCCUGGUCCCACACAAUUACAUGUGUAUCUAAGGUUGCACUUACACUCCCACCUGUUAAGGUAACACACAGGAAGUAUCAUGGUAAGCUAUUAACAGCACAUGUUUUUACAGGACAGUAGCCUAUUUGUUCAGAUGAAUUCAAGUCACUUAAAAGUUAUUCCAUCCAUGGCUGGUAUUAAUAGCAUCCACACGUGUAACAUUUAUAUCAGUGGACAUAAAUCAGCAUCAGUCUAUUAAAUUCAAAACCACAUCAUUUCGGCUCAGCAGCUGACACUACAGGCUUACAAAAGAAACACUUAACAUAUACUUUUCCAUGAUGAAACGUGAGAAUAUGUCUAUUGAUGGUUACGUGUUCUCUACAAGAAGCCUCUCUGAGCCUUAAGGUUUACUUUCCAUAAUCAGCAGCACCUCCCCAGUGGGUUUUUAAUAUGUUUUAUCAGCUUAGAGUUCCUGAACAUCACACUUGCAUGUGGAAAGGCCAGAGAAUUGCCAGCUCUCGAUCAGCUGCAGUGAAAGCACAGCUUUGUAGUCCCAAAGCCCUGACUAUACCUGGGAGUGCAUACAUGGUAUCUGAUUGAAGUUACAGGUGUUAUAAUUCUCCUCUUGCCAGUGGGUCAUUAUUUCACUCCAUCAAAAGAGAAAAAUAAAACAUGUGAAGAACUCUGCAGUGACCUGCUUAGUCCCACAGAGGUCACAGUAGAGACUGAUUUAUGAUGACUGACAACUGCCUAUGAUUAUGAAAAUUGCUAGCCAGGACAGCAUAUAUUACUGAUGCCUGCUGAAUAGGGCACAGAGAAAUCAUUUUCCCUUUUAGUAUUCCUAAAGGUUUACUGUUCUUAGCUUUAUUCAAAGAAACUUAAGACCCGAGGAAAACAAUGCUGCGUAUAUAAACAGGGCAAACAUUAUGCUGUUAUUUAAAAAUGUCAGCCUGAUACUUGAUGUAAGGUUCUGACUUAAUAUGUAAGGCAAAACAAAUGAGUUUGAAAAUCUCUGUUUAGUGGUUUAGAAAAUGGGAUCUGAGAUUGCUUUAAAGAAGGUCAUAAAGACCUCUCAACCUCUCCUUUUAUUUAUGUUUUCUCAAAUAUAUUGACUGGCUUGAUGGUGCACCACAGACAAAUAUCUACAUGCUUCACAUAAUGAAACAGUGUCAUUACCUUAUCUGGACAAACUCCCAGUGUAAUUGCAACCAAAGUAAAACAGCUCUGAGACUGCAAAGAAGUGUCAAAACAGGAAAUACAAUAGCAUAGACCUGAGAUGUUUUCCAUUUGCAGACUUUCAUAUAGGUGUCUUUUUUCAUACUUUUAGCCCUAUAUUGGAAAGCAUAAUUUGAUGAUAGACGUGAAACUGUGUAUUAGUUUUUAUUUUGACAAAUUCAUUAGACAUCACAUAGCUUGAAAAAUGAACCAGGAGGCACUAAGUCAGCCUGAGAAGAUUGUACUUCAUAAACUGAAUUGCUCACAUGGGCAACAUUUUGGUGGAAGUUAUAGAUUUUCUAGCAUAUCCCUGAUAGAUAGCACUAAUAUAACUUCAAUAAAAACUCUGGAUAUGUCAAUAUAAAAUUUUUUCAAGCAUCGAAAGAUGUAAGAUACUUCAGCUAAUAAAUUGGAAGAUUCCCUGUUCCUCAAGGUACACUAACUUACACAUCAGAUUAUAAAGAGUAUUGAAGCCACACAGAGUACAGCAGGCAGCUGUAGGUUUGCUGCUUUUAGAAGUUGCACUAAAUUGAAUUAUCAAUAUAUGAAAGUAAUAAUUGGAAAUUAAGAUCUAGAUGACCCUUUUUGUAAAAAUGUUAGCAUUCUUCAAUUUUUAACUGUUAGAUGAUAGACAAUUUUUCAUAGCUGACAUGACUGAUAGACUGUAUUUGAUGUAAAUAAUUGAUGUUCCUUCUCUCUCUUCCUAACACAUGACCUUUCACUUACUUCCUUAUAUUGUUACCACUUCCAGAUUAAUAUGGUAUUGGAAAUGCAAAUGGUUAUCCUUCUUCUGAAAAAACCUUACAGAACCUGAUGUAAGACUUCAUUGGUUACAACUGUAUGGGACAGGAUUGUGUGUAUGUAUAUAUAUAUUUACAUUUGUGGAUGUUUGCGCAUGCACACAAGCAUAAAUACACAGUGUUAGAAUUUCUUUAAGUUAUACAAUUAUUUCUGUAUCUUACAGUGUCCUACCACGCACAAAUUGUAACUGAAAGUAGCUGCAUGAUUAUUUGUACGCAUUCAACAACCAGUGACUGUAAAUAAAAAGAAGAUAUGGAAAUGCACUAACAUUUGAAUAAUGACAGCUUUUAAAAUAGAAAGAAGAUGACUUGGAAGAAAGUUACAGUUUCAAGUAGAAUGCUGGCAGGAAUUUGAGACACUGUUUGGACUUAGAAAAAUCUUCAACUUUUAGUACAAAAAUGUAUUGUGGACAAGACGAAAUCUAGAGUAUCUACCAUACUUUGCACACUAUUUGAUACUUUUGCAAGGCUUGAGAGAGACUUUCUGGCCAACAGUAACAAACAGAUCAUACAGAGUUUGCAGUUACAUAAUAUUUUCCAAAUACUACUGCACUAGAAACUAAAAAACCAUGUUCAAAUGUGUCAGAGGAAAUCAUUGUAAUGCUCUAUUAACACUACAGAGGCAAGCAUUCAAGUCAGGCAUCUGAACACCGUAUGAGCAGUAUGAUGAACGUGCAUAAUUGUAUGACCUGGGGUUAAGAAAAAGUACUCUUCUAAGGGCCCCAAACUCCACAAUAUACCUCAGUGAGAAAACUCUUCUCUUUGCUCGCUCCCAUAUUCUUGACUUGUAGAUUCUUAUAUUUUAAUUACAAGUAUGUAGAUAACUUAGAGUUUGUUGUUUGUUUGGUUUUUUUUUUUCUGUCACAGGCAAAUUUUCUGUACUUCUACGUGGUAUUUGCCUCUAUCUCAACAAAGUAACUAAGAAGUUUCUGUGAAUUAAGAGCAGAGACAAAUAUAUUACAUCUCUUUAACUGAUGAAAGCAGCAGAUUUUCACUGAUCUGCAGGCAGCUGUUCUGUGUUCAGUGGAGUCGGAUGCCCAUCAUUUUCAUUUUUAUAUGAAAAAUGUUUCUUGGAAAACUCAUUAUCCCUAUUCAGGAGCCUUAAUAUAAAAUGAAAUUGGUCAAAAGGAUCUGAACACCUAAUACACAGUUCUGUCAUUCCUGUAUGGAACUUCUGGCAUAAAAGAAAACUGAGAAGGAUCACUAUUAGCAGUGGCCAGCUUUAGCUAAGCACUUCAAAAUGCACAGAACUAGGCAGAGAAUAGAUGAAGCUUUAUGCUGGUCUGACUGCUAGGGAAAUGAAUUUAUGUCUUCAGUAGCAUUUCCUUAGAAGAAUGCAUUGUGACUCCCUGUACACUCUGUAACACAAAGGGAUGAAGAUUUCUUUUGUUUUUGAGUCUCUGGUUUGGUUGUUGGUCAAGUACAACAGAAGGGGAAGAGGGAGUUACAUCUACAUGGUUGAAUAAAUAAAAAGCACUGAUAAAUACCGGAGUAAGAUUUUCCCUUCUGUAAGAAAAUGCAGUUGUUUCCAUAAUAUAUUCAUUAAAUGUAGAAAUGUAAAGGGUGUGUUUUCUUUUAUGUAUUCCCAUUUGACAAAUAAAUAACUGAUUAAUAUCUGUACUGCAUAUUCUUCCAGAAUAAUUAUUUCCUUUUGGAUGAACUCAGAAAACAAGUCAGUGGAUGAUACUAUACCUGUUUCCAGACAAAUACUUGUGGUGAGAGCAUAAUUUCCAUACUUCAGAUCAAGAGAAGAAUGUAAACUCAUUUUUACUGAAAAUCCUGUAGAAAUUUUCUCUGUGAGAAGGUUAGAUUGGAGGAAAUACUAUUCCUGUAUAGAAAUACUGUAUAGAAAUUGUUUUGAAGCUAAAAGCUCUUUUAUGGCUGAAGCAUUUGUCAAAAUCAGGGGAAUGCAGUCAGACACACAUCAGCUUGCCUUAUUUUGUUCUCCUGACCAGGAAUGAAAGACAGAUCUCUCUUUUUCUAUGUCAGUCUUGCUUUGUUUCUGAUAGCAGAACCAUUACCUGAUGGUCCAACCAAGGUACAAUGUACAGGAAUAAUAAAUUGGAUAAUAGAAGAGGUUAAUAAAAUUUGAAAUGCUUGGAGAUAGG
rnacentral:lncRNA from 1 species